AUUGAACGCUGGCGGCAUGCCUUACACAUGCAAGUCGAACGGCAGCGCGGGAGCAAUCCUGGCGGCGAGUGGCGAACGGGUGAGUAAUAUAUCGGAACGUGCCCAGUAGUGGGGGAUAGCCCGGCGAAAGCCGGAUUACUACCGCAUACGACCUACGGGUGAAAGGGGGGGAUCGCAAGACCUCUCGCUAUUGGAGCGGCCGAUAUCAGAUUAGGUAGUUGAUGGGGUACAGGCCUACCAAGCCUGCGAUCUGUAGUUGGUCUGAGAGGACGACCAGCCACACGGGGACUGAGACACGGCCCAGACUCCUACGGGAGGCAGCAGUGGGGAAUUUUGGACAAUGGGCGCAAGCCUGAUCCAGCAAUGCCGCGUGCAGGAAGAAGGCCUUCGGGUUGUAAACUGCUUUUGUCAGGGAAGAAAUCCUCUAGGCUAAUACCUUGGGGGGAUGACGGUACCUGAAGAAUAAGCACCGGCUAACUACGUGCCAGCAGCCGCCGUAACAC
rnacentral:rRNA from 1 species